UUAACAAUCAUGGCAGAAGGACCUCUUCAC
rnacentral:piRNA from 1 species